rnacentral:ncRNA from 1 species
GAGGGGUGGCUUUAGCAGCCUGAGAUUAUACCCUUCGAACCUGACCUGGGUAAUGCCAGCGUAGGGAAACGAUAGAAU